AUUGAACGCUGGCGGCAUGCCUUACACAUGCAAGUCGAACGGUAACAGGUCUUCGGAUGCUGACGAGUGGCGAACGGGUGAGUAAUACAUCGGAACGUGCCUAGUAGUGGGGGAUAACUACUCGAAAGAGUGGCUAAUACCGCAUGAGAUCUACGGAUGAAAGCAGGGGAUCGCAAGACCUUGUGCUACUAGAGCGGCCGAUGGCAGAUUAGGUAGGUGGUGGGAUAAAAGCUUACCAAGCCGACGAUCUGUAGCUGGUCUGAGAGGACGAUCAGCCACACUUGGACUGAUACCCGGCCCAGACUCCUACGGGAGGAAGCAGUGUGGAAUUUUGGACAAUGGGCGCAAGCCUGAUUCAGCAAUGCCGCGUGCAGGAUGAAGGCCUUCGGGUUGUAAACUGCUUUUGUACGGAACGAAAAGCCCCGGGUUAAUACCCUAGGGUCAUGACGGUACCGUAAGAAUAAGCACCGGCUAACUACGUGCCAGCAGCCGCCGUAA
rnacentral:rRNA from 1 species